CAUCUCCUUAAUCGGAGAGUUCCCUUCGGGGACAUUGGUGACAGGUGGUGCAUGGUUGUCGUCAGCUCGUGUCGUGAGAUGUUGGGUUAAGUCCCGCAACGAGCGCAACCCUUGUCUUUAGUUGCCAUCAUUAAGUUGGGCACUCUAGAGAGACUGCCAGGGAUAACCUGGAGGAAGGUGGGGAUGACGUCAAAUCAUCAUGCCCCUUAUGCUUAGGGCUACACACGUGCUACAAUGGGUAGUACAGAGGGUUGCCAAGCCGUAAGGUGGAGCUAAUCCCUUAAAGCUACUCUCAGUUCGGAUUGUAGGCUGAAACUCGCCUACAUGAAGCUGGAGUUACUAGUAAUCGCAGAUCAGAAUGCUGCGGUGAAUGCGUUCCCGGGUCUUGUACACACCGCCCGUCACACCACGGGAGUUGGAGACGCCCGAAGCCGAUUAUCUAACCUUGUGGAAGAAGUCGUCGAAGGUGGAAUCAAUAACUGGGGUGAAGUCGUAACAAGGUAGCCGUAUCGGAAGGUGCGGCUGGAUCACCUCCUUUCUAAGGA
rnacentral:rRNA from 1 species